rnacentral:misc_RNA from 1 species
AAGUCGAAACAAGCGUAGGUGAACCUGCGGAAGGAUCAUUAACACGUAUCCAAACGUUAACUCCCCUUGUCAGAGGCAAUCCCUAGUAAAUCAUCGCCGAACAGUUUUCGAUUUAGGGACUUCCACAAGGAGUGUGCUCGUAGCGCGAGGCAAGUGGCCUGGCAUUCCCAAGCAGUUGGUGUCUGAAAGUGUCACUGGCUGUGUAAGGAUGGCGCAGUCACGAUCGUUGGAGGCCGACACGACCGGGUCACCGGGCUCACGCCCCUUAAUCACAACUUAAUGCAUGUCAGACGCGCCUGCGCUUAAUUGUGCGGCGACCAUAAAACUCGAACAACUGUUAACAAUGGAUAUCUUGGUUCUC